rnacentral:rRNA from 1 species
UACGUAGGGUGCAAGCGUUGUCCGGAAUUAUUGGGCGUAAAGAGCUCGUAGGCGGUCUGUCACGUCGGCUGUGAAAACCCGGGGCUCAACCCCGGGCCUGCAGUCGAUACGGGCAGACUAGAGUGCGGUAGGGGAGACUGGAAUUCCUGGUGUAGCGGUGAAAUGCGCAGAUAUCAGGAGGAACACCGGUGGCGAAGGCGGGACUCUGGGCCGAUACUGACGCUGAGGAGCGAAAGCGUGGGGAGCAAACAGG